GACCUUGACCUUCUUUGCCCGGCCGCACAUCCAUCCCGGAUGGGCCUGCCUGGGACAACGGAAAUGAACGUUCUUACGAGUUGAGACGAAGUACGGAGCACCCCGAGCAAAUGAAUAACCGUGCCGGCCGCUAGUUCGUCUCCUUGAGGGCUGAGGCUUAUUCUAGUCUAGUCUUUUUAUUCCUCGUCUCUCUCCUACUGUAGCGGCUCGGAUUGCCGCACGGCCGUACGACGUCGAGCAGGCCCACGCCCGUCCCAGUGGCCGACGCCGCCGCAGUCCCGCUGUGGCGAGGCUAGUUCUGGUGCUUUAUGAAAACGAGGCUCACAGGUCAGCAGCACCAGCGGCAGCUCUCGCUAGUGGUCAACGCGAGACUUCGGGGGCGGAAGCAUGCCGCCGUUCCGCCGCUUCCUCUUCUUCCAGUUGGGGUCCCUGGAGAAGUGGAAGAGGAUGUCCAAGUUGUGGCUGUAGGGGUACCCACUUUGAGGGCCCCGUAGGUAGCUGCUCAUGGAGUACUUGUCCGGCUCCUAGCAGCCCCGGCACAAGGGGCUGUUCGCCUUCGCUUGGUUUGAGUUGCUGCUCCUCACCUCGCACGUCGACCACGGCUAGGUCAAGGACAAGGACAGCCGCACGGGCCACUAGCGGCAGGCGAAGCACUCGUCCAGGCCGCCCCUCCCCAUGGGCGGGGUGCAGGGGCACGUGCGGUGGUCGGAGGAGGAGUACCUUCACCAUUUGGUAGAAAUUAAAAGAGGUAGCAGUAGCAGUCGGACUCGAGUACCGCCUUAGUUACCCACCUACGUCUGCCUGAUGUUCGACUUCCCCGACGUCUCCCUGCGCUACGGCAGCGUGGACCGCGACUGCCACGCCCCGAGCGACAUGGGCGUCGGCCUCCCCGCCGCCUCGGACUCCCCGGUGCACCUCUACUCGCACCCCAAGUUGGACGGCGGCCACGACCGCGACCACGGCCUCGGGUAGUAGGCCCCGCAGCCGCUGUGGCACGAGGCCGUCGACCGCCUCGUCUACUUCGUGCUGAAGCUGUGGCCGGAGCGGCGGCUGAAGUUCUUCAUGGCGUGGCUCUUCGAGUGGCUCCCCUCCUGGGCGUUUGUGACUUGGACUUGAAAGAAGGAGUAGUAGUAGAAGAAGCUAAAACAUUGACACCACUACUACCGUAACUAAGUACGUUCUAAGAAAUUAAACCUCGAGCAGCGUACUAGUUUUUCUGACGUUUUCGCAGCACAAUAAGGAGCCACGCUGCCGUACUGACUCUUCUAGUAUUAUUGAAUCCUAGGUCAACGACAUUUAUUACAUUUAAUAUGAAUGUUCGUAUGAGUUAAUAUGUCUCUAAUGACUAGAGUCUGAUACAAAACACAAACGACAGUCUGUCUGAACUGGGGUAAAGAAAGACCGAUAUUGACUCUUCGUUUG
rnacentral:rRNA from 1 species